rnacentral:rRNA from 1 species
GACGAACGCUGGCGGCGUGCUUAACACAUGCAAGUCGAACGGAAAGGCCCUGCUUUUGUGGGGUGCUCGAGUGGCGAACGGGUGAGUAACACGUGAGUAACCUGCCCUUGACUUUGGGAUAACUUCAGGAAACUGGGGCUAAUACCGGAUAGGAGCUCCUGCUGCAUGGUGGGGGUUGGAAAGUUUCGGCGGUUGGGGAUGGACUCGCGGCUUAUCAGCUUGUUGGUGGGGUAGUGGCUUACCAAGGCUUUGACGGGUAGCCGGCCUGAGAGGGUGACCGGCCACAUUGGGACUGAGAUACGGCCCAAACCCCUACGGGAGGCAGCAGUGGGGAAUAUUGCACAAUGGGCGGAAGCCUGAUGCAGCAACGCCGCGUGCGGGAUGACGGCCUUCGGGUUGUAAACCGCUUUCGCCUGUGACGAAGCGUGAGUGACGGUAAUGGGUAAAGAAGCACCGGCUAACUACGUG